ensembl:snoRNA
AAUAGUAAUUGUCUUUGGAUUAAAAAAAUGUGUUUCUGCAGAAAUUUUAAAAAAGCUGGCAAUAGCCAGGCCAUGUUCUGAGCCUUAUGGACACUGAAGUCAUUAAGGUCCCUGAAAAUGGCCUUAACA